rnacentral:lncRNA from 1 species
GGUUAUCAAACCAAGGUCAAGGACAGAUCCUCUAAGUCUUCAUUUCCUCAGGCUGCUGUAACAACUUAACCACAAACUCAGUGGCUAAAACAACACAGAUUUGUUACCCUAUGGUUCUGGAGAUUAAAGGUGCAAUUCUGGUCUCACUGGGCUAAGAUCAAAGUGUCUGAGGGCUGGUUCUUCUGGAAGCUCUAGGGCAGCUUCUGUCUCCUUGCAGUUUCCAGUUUCUAAAGGACACCACAGCCUCAGGCUCCUGGCUCCUUCUCCACCCUCCCGGCCAGCAGCAUCAACCUCAGCUUGCAUCUUGGGCGUGGUCCCUUCUGACCCCACCUUCCUUUCAAGGACCCUGUGAGCACAUAUGUCUCACUGGAAUAAUCCAGAACAAGUGUCCCUUUUCGAGAUCAGUGGUUUAGCAACUUUGUCUCUAUCUGCCACCUUCGCCGGGUAAGAGAGCACGUUCACAGAUUCUGGGAAUUGGGACGUGGAUGUCUUUGUGGGGCUGAUAUAUUGUUGCUGUCAGCUAGGUAAGGGGUUUGGGGUUUAUUCCUGCCUGUAUCAGGAAGUUGUUUGAGG